GCAGGAGGCUCGCAAGCAGGCCGAGUCGCCGAGGCGUUACUCGCACCCAAUCUUGACCUCAGAUCAGGCAAGGCUACCCGCUGAAUUUAAGCAUAUCAAUAAGCGGAGGAAAAGAAACUAACAAGGAUUCCCCCAGUAACGGCGAGUGAAGCGGGAAGAGCUC
rnacentral:rRNA from 1 species